CCUACGGGAGUCAGCAGUGAGGAAUAUUGGUCAAUGGACGAGAGUCUGAACCAGCCAAGUAGCGUGAAGGAUGACUGCCCUAUGGGUUGUAAACUUCUUUUAUAUGGGAAUAAAAUGUUCCACGUGUGGGAUUUUGUAUGUACCAUAUGAAUAAGGAUCGGCUAACUCCGUGCCAGCAGCCGCGGUAAUACGGAGGAUCCGAGCGUUAUCCGGAUUUAUUGGGGUUAAAGGGAGCGUAGGUGGAUUGUUAAGUCAGUUGUGAAAGUUUGCGGCUCAACCGUAAAAUUGCAGUUGAAACUGGCAGUCUUGAGUACAGUAGAGGUGGGCGGAAUUCGUGGUGUAGCGGUGAAAUGCUUAGAUAUCACGAAGAACUCCGAUUGCGAAGGCAGUUCACUGGACUGCAACUGACACUGAGGCUCGAAAGUGUGGGUAUCAAACAGGAUUAGAUACCCGUGUAGUC
rnacentral:rRNA from 1 species